rnacentral:tRNA from 1 species
GCGAGAAUGGCGGAAUUGGCAGACGCGCAUGGUUCAGGUCCAUGUGUCCGUAAGGACGUGGGAGUUCAAGUCUCUUUUCUCGCA